rnacentral:misc_RNA from 1 species
UGCCAGUUCUACAUGUACCCCAUACAAGGAAUCUUCCAUUGUGUUCUCAAGUUCUAAUUAUCAACUAGUUCUCCCUUUCUCUCCCUAUGUAGGACUGAUCACAGCCAGUUUUGGGAAUCCACUAGUACUUAUGCAUUGCCAGCAUGCAACUAAGAUGGAGCACAAUGGCAAAAUGUUGACAACAGGCAUGUCAAAGGUGGCUCUUAUACCCAAGCACUUUUUUGGCAGCAUGUCCGAUAAUGAUAACUUAAGCCG